rnacentral:lncRNA from 1 species
UAUCCCCCAAUCUCUCCUCUCCGAAUCUCUCUCCCUUUCUCUCCUCUCUCUCCUCGCCCUCUCUGUCGAGAUCUCCGUCGAUGCCUCUUCUUCACUUUCCCUCUCUCACUUCUUCAAAACCAGGUUUAUUUCUGAUUAAUUUUAUGCUAACCCACCGCAAUUAUCAUGAUGGUCACUGUUUUUUUUUAUUUAAAAAAAUCUUCUUUUGGAUUGGCCGAUAGAAUAGCUUGUGAGUUACAGUUCUAACCACUAGGCUGCAGCUGCAAUUUACAAGUUUACAGUUUUUGCUUUAGUUAUUAUUUUGUUUAUUUAAUUGGAAAUAUGUGGUUGAAUAUGGUUAAUUUCUGAAUGAAUAUUGUUCUUUUUAAUUUAUGCUCCUAUUGAUAUAUUUUUCCUUGUACUGUUUAUUUAUGUAAGUUGUGGUACUAUUUUUCAGGCCUGGUGCGUCAUCAGGUAUAUUUUUGGGGGCAGUAACGCUUCCUGGGCUUAUAGUAUCAAAGUUGAUCCAGAUUACAAGAGCAGUAUCUUUAAAUCAAGUCGGAACUGAAGGUAUAACACUCAUUAUUGUUUUUUAUUGAAAAUGAUAAUGGAUUGUUUCAGGAAAUAAAUGAGGGUUUAAACAGCAUAACUAGUUAAACAUGAAAUAGCAAUGACAAUUGUGAUGCCUAAAAGUGCAGUGUGAAGAAUAAGGAUAAUUUUGCUGUAAAUUGAUAGGUUAUUAACACUAACAACAACAACAACCACCCAGUGUAAUCACACAAGUGGGGUCUGGGGAGGGUAGGAUGUACGCAGCCUUACCCCUACUCUUGAAAGGGCAGAAAGACUAUUUCCGAUAGACUGCAAGUUAACACUAUUUGUUUUAAUAUUUACUAUAUUGUGCUUAUGUGUCUGUCUACUGAAUCUCUUAUCUCAAAAGAUUGUUAAGUUACGUUCUGUCUUGUGAUGUUUGUAUAUGGAAAAGGGCUGUUUAGUAGGGAAAGGUAUAAUCUUGCCUCUGCUUAUGUAGUUGAGAAGGAGCGUGGUUGUGUUUUACAUAUUUAUUCACCUAAUAGGUCGAUUUCCAUUAGAAACUUUAGUUAGUAUGGUAAGAUUGUAUUCAGGACUUAUGUUGAUUCCUACCUUGCCUCACAUGUAUGACUGACUUCUUUUGAUUUUGACCUCUUAACAGAGCUUGAAAAUCUGCAACUACUAUAUUGGGUGACAUCUGCAAGUUGCUUCACCGUGCUAGCUUAUCUCUGCUUCAUUUUUUACCGUCAAUCAGACAGCAAGAAUUGUGCUACUUUUCGCGUUAGCUUAAGUUGCAUAGCGUUGUAUUUAGGAGUCUGCUGUGUGUCAUUUGCUGUGAAAUCUCAUGGUGGUAGGUCAAUUUCUCUUCCUUAUAUUCACUUAUUCAUUCAUUGGUCAACCCAAUAAGUUAGUUGAGCCUUUCUUAACAAUUCUUGGCCAACAUCUCCUGUAGGUUGGGAUGCAGUAGCAAUCUUAUUGUGGCUAUUCUUUCAUGGAUUUGCAGCAGUAAAGCUAAUUCAGAAUAUUCUUCACACUUUUCCAGCAUGCGCUUCAAUUGGUUGGUCAUGUUACUACGUUUUUUAUUUUACUGGAUAUAUCUGUAGCAUCACAACUACCAAAUUGCACACUUGGUAUGAGGGUCCACUCUGUUGUGCAAAGAUUCAGUUCACAUUCUCUCUCCACUAAUCACAAUAAAACUAAGAUUUAUUUGGCUGUUAGACAAUAUGAAGGAAUUUUUUUACCUAGAGCUUCAUUCUGCCAGUUUCCCAGUUCAAUUUGGUCACGGUUUAAACAAUUGGCGGAUACAGUUACAUAUCUGCUGAUGUGUAUACGUUCCAUCACUACAUAUCUGUCGAUUCAUAUCCAUCCCACUGCUGCAUAGCUGAUGAUUCAUAUUUAAUGGCUCCUGUUGUAGUCACGCCAGAUGACGCAAAAAUGUAGUAGGUAAUACAGAUGUUAUCGACACAUUGGUGAUAAUAUCGUGUAAAGACAAAUCUACCGAAUACGAAGAUGAUAUUGGCACUUUUUCACUCUUUUUAGGAUUAACCUUUAUUUCUUGUUCUUUUCUCAUGAAAAAUUGUAGUCGAACUAUGGGAAAGAAAAAGUCUUAAUAUAAAAUGAUCUGAAACUUGACUGUAAAUUUUAUACUUUUCAAACUUUCUUUUUAUAUUCUUAUUUUAGGGUGGCUCACAUUUGGUGUUAGUUGGAAGCAUGUCUCGCCUUUUAGAGAAGAUUAAAGCUACUUGGGUAUUGUAAUGUCAAAUAUGAUGUAGGAUUGUCUUGUAGUUUGUUGAAGUUAUCUUAUCUGAAGUUUGAAGGAGGAUUCCUACGAAUUAUAUACAACAUUGAAUGUGUUUUUAGUAGUUAAGUAGAUUAAAAUAAUGAUUCAAAUAAUCACCUCAAAGUUCACAAAUUAUUUCUAAUAUAAGAAUUUUUUAAGCCUAUAUGCAGCUAAAGUGCACUUAAUGCUGAUCUACGAUCAAUUUGCUAUGACUGCUGCCGAAUAAGGACCCUCCAAUUCCAUAUCAAAUUCUGCAACUUUGAACAAUGAGUUGGAUAUUAAGUUGCAUGCGUGGAACAUACUUUAUUCCACACAAAGUGCUGUUUGAACAUGGCUUAUUUCGGCAAUCUAUAUUUCUUGUUUAUAUUAGAGAACAGAGGCUCAAAAUCAUUUGACUUGUCCUAUUACGUUUUGCUUUAUUUGAUGAAUGGUCCUUUGUCUUCUGCACACUAAUUUGCAUUCUUGGUUCUCUUCUUAGGAGAAGCGUUACUGGUUACUGUUGGCCUUGUUAUCUAUUUCAGUGAUAUGCUAGCUUGUACUGCUGCUAAGGUUAGUUUCAUACUUUUACUUUCUCUGAUAUCAGAUGAAAUGGAUACCUAAUAAGCAGUAUUGUGUCUGUGAACAGUCCCAUGGGUACUUUACAGCAUCUAAGCUAGUGACGGUACCAUAUGGAGUCCAGAGAAGUGAAGUUAGCAUUAUUAUUCAGGUAUUGUACAAGCUGUUAGUUUUCUAGACUAUCCUCUUCUUUCCAUAUAAAGUAAAAGAUUUCGAUUCAGAGUACUGAUCACGAAAGGUAACACUAUGUUCUAGGGAUUGAUUACUGGCCUUCUUAUUUUCCCUAUGCUAUUUAAAAACGUGCUUCAAAUUUUGGAGCGGGUCAGCUCGGCACCUUCUAGAGAUAGAGGAGAUAAUCAAAUGAGGCGAUCUCUUGUGUU